GUGCUUGCUUUGGCAGCACAUAAACUAAAAUUGGAACGAUACAGAGAAGAUUAGCAUGGCCCCUGAGCAAGGAUGACACAAAUUCGUGAAGCGUUCCCUAUUUUU
rnacentral:snRNA from 1 species